UUCGUCUCUCGAUUCUCCGGAUUCCCGUUGUCGUAGUCAGUCUUGUCAAGUUAUAUUAUACUCCUACAAUUACCAAGCGCUACCAACAAGUAUACAAGCAUAUUGUAUGGGAUACUGGGCAAAUAAGUAAAAUUGUAAGAUGUCGACAGUCCUAUUUAAUAUACUCAAGAUAUUUUCAUACGGGAAAACUGUAAAUAUGUAUUUUAUUCAAAA